ACUCCUACGGGAGGCAGCAGUGGGGAAUAUUGCACAAUGGGGGAAACCCUGAUGCAGCCAUGCCGCGUGUGUGAAGAAGGCCUUCGGUUGUAAAGCACUUUCAGUAGGAGGAAGGUAGUGUAGUUAACACCUGCAUUAUUUGACGUUACCUACAGAAGAAGCACCGGCUAACUCCGUGCCAGCAGCCGCGGUAAUACGGAGGGUGCGAGCGUUAAUCGGAAUUACGUGGCGUAAAGCGCAUGCAGGCGGCCUGUUAAGUCAGAUGUGAAACGCCCGGGGCUUAACCUCGGAAUUGCAUUUGAAACUGGCAGGCUAGAGUCUUGUAGAGGGUUAGAAUUUCGAGGUGUAGCGUGAAAUGCGUAGAGAUCUGAAGGAAUACCAGUGGCGAAGGCGGCCCCCGUGGACAAAGACUGACGCUCAGACUGCGAAAGGCGUGGGAGCAAACAGGAUUAGAUACCCCGUGGUAGACUGUCA
rnacentral:rRNA from 1 species